GGGUCUGUAACUCAGUUGGGAGAGUACCUGAUUUGCAUUCAGGAAGUCGAGAGUUCGAGCCUCUUCAGAUCCACCA
rnacentral:tRNA from 1 species